UACCAGCACCCCGAGUGGUCGGGACGUUUAUUGGGCCUAAAGCAUCCGUAGCCGGUUCUACGAGUCUUCCGUUAAAUCCAACUGCUUAACAGGUGGGCUGCGGAAGAUACUAUAGAGCUAGGAGGCGGGAGAGGCAAGCGGUACUCGAUGGGUAGGGGUAAAAUCCGUUGAUCCAUUGAAGACCACCAGUGGCGAAGGCGGCUUGCCAGAAUGCGCUCGACGGUGAGGGAUGAAAGCUGGGGGAGCAAACCGG
rnacentral:rRNA from 1 species